GAAAACAACUGAUUCAUAUAGGUUUUAUUGUAUUAAUUUCAAAAUGUUAUAAUUUAAGAACAUGCACUCCGUAAACAAAGCUCUUAUCUAUCCUAUUACGAAGUUCGUGAUUUGAUUGUGUGCCACUGAAACAGAGAAAUUUCUAGUAAAGAAAUGCAAAAGUGUAUAUCAAGUUAUAUUCCAAAUAUUUGAUAGUGCGUGCAGUGUCAUUCAACAUUAUACAGCAAUGGCGUCACAUUUUGUAUUUCAUAAUGGAAAAGUGUACAGACGUCUUGCACAAGAUGAUAAUCCUGAGUAUGGAUUAUCAGCUAAAGACUAUUAUCUUAGGGAGCGGUCGACGGUAACAGCUGCUUAUCAUGUUGCAUGGGGUAGCCAUUAUAAGAUGAAAAGGGAUUCAAAGUAUAUUUCCGCGUGUCUGACCUAUGAGGACGCCUUAAAUUUUUCAAGGAAAAAGUAAUAUUAUAAUGGCCAUAUUGUUAGCAUCGAUAUAAUUGGUGUUCCAAUGGACGUUCCGCAUAUAUACAAUGCAGACGUGAGGCAACAACUAAAUAAUGAACAGAGCGAAGUGAAUCCGGUAACUAUUUCGAAUUUCGAUUCAUUUGCAACGGAAAGAAAUAAAUAUUAAAAUAUUAA